ACAACAUUUGGAGCGUCGGUCUACCGAGCUAAUUCACUCGCUCGGUGGAAAAUCU
rnacentral:pre_miRNA from 1 species